UAAACAUACUAACCAUAAAAGAGGGACGAAAGAUACCAAAGGGACAGUCAAACUCAUAAAUCUAAAACAAACUGACAACGCCAUGGCUAAAAAUGAAAAAGACAAACAGAAAAACAAUAGUACACAUGACACAACAUAGAAAAAUAAAGAAUAAACAACACGAACCCCAUCAAAAACUAGGGGUGAUCUCAGGUGCUCCGGAAGGGUAAGCAGAUCCUGCUCCACAUGUGGCACCCGUCGUGUUGCUUAUGUGAUUUCAAAUCCGGU
rnacentral:lncRNA from 1 species